rnacentral:piRNA from 1 species
UGCUAGGACCAAGCCAAGAGAAUGAUG